rnacentral:tRNA from 1 species
GCACCAGUGGUCUAGUGGUAGAAUAGUACCCGGCCACGGUACAGACCCGGGUUCGAAUCUCAGCUGGUGCA